rnacentral:tRNA from 1 species
UCCCUGGUGGCUCAGAUGGUAAAGAAUCUGCCUGUAAUGCAGGAGACCUGGGUUCAACUCCUGGGUUGGGAA